UGAAUUGAAAAAAAAUGUACAAGGUGUUCGUUGGUGGGGGGGGGGAGGGAUCAUUACCGAGUUUACAACUCCCAAACCCAAUGUGAACGUUACCAAACUGUUGCCUCGGCGGGAUCUCUGCCCCGGGUGCGUCGCAGCCCCGGACCAAGGCGCCCGCCGGAGGACCAACCAAAACUCUUAUUGUAUACCCCCUCGCGGGUUUUUUUAUAAUCUGAGCCUUCUCGGCGCCUCUCGUAGGCGUUUCGAAAAUGAAUCAAAACUUUCAACAACGGAUCUCUUGGUUCUGGCAUCGAUGAAGAACGCAGCGAAAUGCGAUAAGUAAUGUGAAUUGCAGAAUUCAGUGAAUCAUCGAAUCUUUGAACGCACAUUGCGCCCGCCAGUAUUCUGGCGGGCAUGCCUGUCCGAGCGUCAUUUCAACCCUCGAACCCCUCCGGGGGGUCGGCGUUGGGGAUCGGCCCUGCCUUGGCGGUGGCCGUCUCCGAAAUACAGUGGCGGUCUCGCCGCAGCCUCUCCUGCGCAGUAGUUUGCACACUCGCAUCGGGAGCGCGGCGCGUCCACAGCCGUUAAACACCCAACUUCUGAAAUGUUGACCUCGGAUCAGGUAGGAAUACCCGCUGAACUUAAGCAUA
rnacentral:rRNA from 1 species